rnacentral:rRNA from 1 species
UACGGAGGGGGCUAGCGUUGUUCGGAAUUACUGGGCGUAAAGCGCACGUAGGCGGAUUUGUAAGUCAGGGGUGAAAAUCCCGAGGCUCAACCUCGGAACUGCCUUUGAUACUGCAAAUCUCGAGUCCGGAAGAGGUUAGUGGAAUUCCCAGUGUAGAGGUGAAAUUCGUAGAUAUUGGGAAGAACACCAGUGGCGAAGGCGGCUAACUGGUCCGGUACUGACGGCUGAGGUGCGAAAGCGUGGGGAGCAAACAGG